GCAGGGAAGGCAGGUGUGGGAGGUGGGGCAGGGCUGCAGAUGCCCCCGAGCCUGGAGCCACCAGGACAUCAGCGGGAACCUGAGGGCCAGAGGCAGGGUCCUCUGGGUAGGAUAGGCUCUCUGGCUGCUUCCACAGGAAGUUCGGUCACAGCUGCCAUGUGGGCCUGUGACUCAGCAAGUCCAGCGGUGCUCAGCAAACUGGGGAUUAUCUGGUUUAUCCAAAGAGCCAACGAAGAGGAUCCUCAUGCUCAGCUGUCCUAGAACUCACUCUGUAGACCAGGCUGGCUGUGAACUCACAAGGAGGCCUGUGCAUUGCUACUGCAAGGAUUAAAGGAGGCCGGAAGAGAGUAUUGGAUCACAGCUCUGGAACUGGAGUUACAGAUGUUGUGAUCACUGUGUGAGUGCUAGAACUGAACCAAGGUCCUCUGCAAGAGCAGCAAGUACACUAGCCAACGAGCCGUCUCUCCUGCCUCCCAGUGUGGUUUUGCUUUUUUUUUUUUUUUUUUUUUUUGGUUUUCUUUUUUUCUAGGGUUUCUCUGUAUUGCCCUGGCUGCCUUGGAACUUGCUUUGUAGACCAGGUUGGCCUUAAACUUAGAAAUCCAUCUGCCUCUGCAGGAUUAAAGACAUGUGCCACCA